CACACGACUCUCGGCAACGGAUAUCUAGGCUCUCGCAUCGAUGAAGAACGUAGCAAACUGCGAUACUUGGUGUGAAUUGCAGAAUCCCGUGAACCAUCGAGUCUUUGAACGCAAGUUGCGCCCGAAGCCAUUAGGCCGAGGGCACGCCUGCCUGGGCGUCACGC
rnacentral:rRNA from 2 species